rnacentral:rRNA from 1 species
UACGAAGGGGGCUAGCGUUGUUCGGAAUCACUGGGCGUAAAGCGCACGUAGGCGGGUCGUUAAGUCAGGGGUGAAAUCCCGAGGCUCAACCUCGGAACUGCCUUUGAUACUGGCGACCUUUGAGUCCGGGAGAGGUGAGUGGAACUCCGAGUGUAGAGGUGAAAUUCGUAGAUAUUCGGAAGAACACCAGUGGCGAAGGCGACUCACUGGCCCGAUACUGACGCUGAGGCGCGAAAGCGUGGGGAGCAAACAGG